AGUGAACGCUGGCGGUAGGCCUAACACAUGCAAGUCGAACGGCAGCACGGUAAGAGCUUGCUCUUACGGGUCGCGAGUGGCGGACGGGUGAGGAAUACAUCGGAAUCUACUUUUUCGUGGGGGAUAACGUAGGGAAACUUACGCUAAUACCGCAUACGACCUACGGGUGAAAGCAGGGGAUCUUCGGACCUUGCGCGAUUGAAUGAGCCGAUGUCGGAUUAGCUAGUUGGCGGGGUAAAGGCCCACCAAGGCGACGAUCCGUAGCAGGUCUGAGAGGAUGAUCAGCCACACUGGAACUGAGACACGGUCCAGACUCCUACGGGAGGCAGCAGUGGGGAAUAUUGGACAAUGGGCGCAAGCCUGAUCCAGCCAUACCGCGUGGGUGAAGAAGGCCUUCGGGUUGUAAAGCCCUUUUGUUGGGAAAGAAAAGCAGCAGGUUAAUACCCCGCUGUUCUGACGGUACCCAAAGAAUAAGCACCGGCUAACUUCGUG
rnacentral:rRNA from 1 species